rnacentral:rRNA from 1 species
CCCUUAGAUGUUCUGGGCCGCACGCGCGCUACGCUGAUGCAUUCAACGAGCCUAUCCUUGACCGACAGGUCCGGGUAAUCUUUGAAUCUGCAUCGUGACGGGGAUAGAUUAUUGCAAUUAUUAAUCUUCAACGAGGAAUGCCUAGUAGGCGCAAGUCAUCAGCUUGCGUCGAUUACGUCCCUGCCCUUUGUACACACCGCCCGUCGCUCCUACCGAUUGGGUGUGCUGGUGAAAUGUUCGGAUCGGCCGUUUGUCGCGGUUUCCGCGUCAUGUGGCUGAGAAGUUCAUUAAACCCUCCCACCGAGAGGAAGGAGAAGUCGUAACA